AUAGAAGACUAGAUGCCCUAUUGGCUGCUGGGGACUGAGAAAUACGGCGGCCAUCUUAAACCGGUCGCUCUCCUAGUUUCGUUGCAUGGCAGCAGAUAAGAUGUCAGAGCACUGUGGAGCAUUUUCCUGUUCUAAUCGGCGGACGAUCGCAAAUAGAGCCCGGAGGAUUAUUUUCACAAGUACUUUUUAACAUCGCGGUACUAUUGGUUGUAUUUUGUGAAUAGAAUAUUAACAGAAAAUUGAGAAAGAGCCAGCUUAUUGAUUUUACUGUACUGAAAUCGUAGCCAGCUAUCGUUCGCUAGGCUAUGUGUACUGCACCAGCCGCUGUUCACCCUGCAAGGAGAGUGGGGUGCUGUGAGCUGCGUGAUCCGCCGAGCUUUAAAAAGCUGAGAUGUCAACAGGAACAGAGGAUGUUUUCCUUCGUAGGGAGGACAUUGAGGAGACUCGGUUUGGAAUCGACAACUAUCAGUCUGACUCGUUGUCACUGGUUGUGUCUGUGUUUUUAAAGAUAAGGCUCCACCAUGUUGCCAAACUCACCUCUCUUGAACUACAGAAAGGGAGCACGGGAAAGAAGCUCUGGAAAACAGUCCUCUUUCAGGGGUGUGUGUGUGUGUGUGUGGGUGCGUGCGUGUGUGUGGGGGGGGGUUUACAAAUCAUUUUAAAUUGUUUCUUCACCAUAUUAAAAAGUCUUAUUUUAUUGCAACUAUCUGUUUCUGCAUCUUUGUCAUAUUUAUAGUGUGUGAUUUAUAAAAUAUCUUAUGUCCUACACCA